AGUUUGGAACUGCGAAUGGCUCAUUAUAUCAGUUAUAGUUUAUUUGGUGAAGUGUACUACUUGGAUAACCGUAGUAAUUCUAGGGCUAAUACAUGAGAAAGUCCUCUGGUGAGGUGUGUUUAUUAGAAUGAAAACCAUAUGCUUCGGCAUGAUAGUGAGUAAUAGUAACCUAUCGUAUCGCAUGCUUAAUGUAGCGAUGAGUCUUUCAAGUUUCUGCCCUAUCAGCUUUCGAUGGUAGUAUAUGGGCCUACCAUGGCAGUAACGGGUAACGAAGAA
rnacentral:rRNA from 1 species